UACGAAGGGGGCUAGCGUUGCUCGGAAUUACUGGGCGUAAAGGGCGCGUAGGCGGCACUGUUAGUCAGGCGUGAAAGUCCUGGGCUCAACCUGGGAACUGCGCUUGAUACGGCAGAGCUAGAGGAUGGAAGAGGCUCGCGGAAUUCCCAGUGUAGAGGUGAAAUUCGUAGAUAUUGGGAAGAACACCGGUGGCGAAGGCGGCUCACUGGCCCGGAACUGACGCUGAGGUGCGAAAGCGUGGGGAGCAAACAGG
rnacentral:rRNA from 1 species